ACACUGGUGGUGAAGUGGAAUCAUACUUGUGUACACCUUUAGAUUCUAAACGAAUCUGUCAAUCGCAAGAGGCGAGGGUUCGAAUCCCUCUCGGUGUG